rnacentral:rRNA from 1 species
ACGUAGGUGGCAAGCGUUGUCCGGAAUUAUUGGGCGUAAAGCGCGCGCAGGCGGUUUCUUAAGUCCAUCUUAAAAGCGUGGGGCUCAACCCCAUGAGGGGAUGGAAACUGGGAAGCUGGAGUAUCGGAGAGGAAAGUGGAAUUCCUAGUGUAGCGGUGAAAUGCGUAGAGAUUAGGAAGAACACCGGUGGCGAAGGCGACUUUCUAGACGAAAACUGACGCUGAGGCGCGAAAGCGUGGGGAGCAAACAG